rnacentral:rRNA from 1 species
GGAGGCAGCAGUGGGGAAUUUUCCGCAAUGGGCGAAAGCCUGACGGAGCAAUACCGCGUGAGGGAGGAAGGCUUUUGGGUUGUAAACCUCUUUUAAUAAGGAAGAAGAAAGUGACGGUACUUAUUGAAUAAGCAUCGGCUAACUCCGUGCCAGCAGCCGCGGUAAUACGGAGGAUGCAAGCGUUAUCCGGAAUCAUUGGGCGUAAAGCGUCCGCAGGUGGCUCAUCAAGUCUGCUGUUAAAGACAGAAGCUCAACUUCUGAAUGGCGGUGGAAACUGGUGAGCUAGAGUAUGGUAGGGGUUGAGGGAAUUCCCAGUGUAGCGGUGAAAUGCGUAGAUAUUGGGAAGAACACCAGUGGCGAAGGCGCUCAACUGGGCCAUAACUGACACUCAGGGACGAAAGCUAGGGUAGCGAAAGGGAUUAGAUACCCCUGUAGUCUUAGCUGUAAACGAUGAACACUAGGCGUUGCUUGUAUCGACC